GAUGAACGCUGGCGGCGUGCCUAAUACAUGCAAGUCGAGCGGCAGCGCGGUCUUCGGACUGGUGGCGAGCGGCGGACGGCUGAGUAACGCGUGGGAACGUACCUUAAUGUGAGGGAUAACUGCUCGAAAGAGUAGCUAAUACCGCAUGUGCCCUACGGAGUAAAGAUUUAUCGCUUUAAGAACGGCCUGCGUCUGAUUAGUUAGUUGGUGAGGUAACGGCUCACCAAGACGAUGAUCAGUAGCUGGUCUGAGAGGAUGACCAGCCAGACUGGAACUGAGACACGGUCCAGACUCCUACGGGAGGCAGCAGUAGGGAAUUUUCCACAAUGGGGGCAACCCUGAUGGAGCAACGCCGCGUGCAGGAUGACGGCCUUCGGGUUGUAAACUGCUUUUAUGUAUGAAGAAUAUGACGGUAAUACAUGAAUAAGGACCUGCUAACUACGUGCCAGCAGCCGCCGUAA
rnacentral:rRNA from 1 species